GAAGUGGACCGGACGGCCGCCGGCCGCGGUCGCCCUUGGGCGGCCUGUGGCGGGAGGAAAGUCCGGGCUCCGCAGGACAGGGUGGUCGGUAACGCCGACCGGCCGCGAGGCCAGGGAAAGUGCCACAGAAAACAUACCGCCGAUGGCCGCGCGCGGGCGUUUCACGCCUGGGAGCGGAUCAGGUAAGGGUGAAAAGGUGCGGUAAGAGCGCACCAGCAGCCGAGGUGACUCGGCUGGCUCGGUAAACCCCACCCGGAGCAAGGCCAAACAGGGAGCAGUUCGCUGCGGCGAACGGGAGCCGGUCCGGCUCGCUAUCGACUUCCGGGUAGGCUGCUGGAGGCGUCGAGCAAUCGGCGUCCUAGAGAAAUGACCGUCCCCUCGCUUGUCGAGGGACAGAACCCGGCUUACAGGUCCACUUCGAGG
rnacentral:RNase_P_RNA from 1 species